rfam:Erythranthe guttata cultivar DTN x IM62 scaffold_226_contig_3, whole genome shotgun sequence.
AGGAGCCGUAUGGGGUGAAAAUCUCAUGUACGGUUCUGUAGAGUGGCAGUAAGGGUGAUUUAUCUGUCAACUUUUCC